AGUUUUUCUGCCCAUUGAAUUUUAAAGGCUGCAGUAUCUUGACUGUACAAAGGUAGCAAAAUCAAUAGUUUUUUAAUUGAAAACUUGUAUGAAGGAAUUAAUAAAAUAUAAACUGUCUUAAAAUUUGAAUUUAAAUUUAAAGUUAAAAUGCUUUAAUAAAUUUAUUAGACGAUAAGACCCUAAGAAUUUUAAAUAAUUUAUUAAGUUGAAAUUUUUAUUUAAUGAUAAAUUUUUUAUUGGGAGGGUAAUUGAAUAAAACUUCAAUUUUUAUGAACAUUGAUAAAUGAAUGUAAUGAUAAUAAUAAUAAUUAAAAGAAAUAAUUACCUUAGGGAUAACAGCGUAAUAAUUUUGGAGAGUUCAUAUUAAUAAAAUUGUUUGCGACCUCGAUGUUGAAUUAAAAUAAAAAUUAAGUGAAGAAGCUUAAAAUUUUAGUCUGUUCGACUAUUAAAAUUUUAC
rnacentral:rRNA from 1 species